CUUCUUCUUGUUUGGAGAUUCAAUCAUCUCAUCGAUCAUUCACACGGCGAUGAUGCUGAUAGUGAUUAUCAGAAACCUUUUUCUUCUUUUAUCUUUCUUCUCGGAUUCUCUUUAUCUAGUUCUCUUCUCUAUUUUUAGGGUUCAACUACUCUGAUUUCAGAGAACUUACCAAGUCUUACAUCAGUAAUCUCUCCGAGAUUAAGGUCGAAUGACUUGUUAAUUUCAGAGAUAUAUAUCAAAUCCGAAGUCAUUCCGACCAAUUUAUUAGGGUAAUUUUUUUCAAUCUGAGAAAAAAAUCUUAUUAGGGUUUAGACUAACAAAUCUCAGAUUUUCUUUCAUUUUCUAAAUUUAGGUUUAUUCUCAUAAGUUCAAGAUUUGUAGAGUUUUAAUGGGUUUCUGGUAAAGUUCAUUUAUAUUGUGGUUUUUUUCGAUUGCUCGAAGAGUUAGGGUUCUUCAAUUUUUUUAAAGAAUUUUUUGUCUUAUCCAAUUGUUCUUGUUCUUCACUGAGAUGAGUUUACGAGAUUGAGGUGGAGUUAAAGUUAAUAUCAGAUAUGAAAAGAUGGGAUUUCAUCUGAUUUGAGUUUGCACAAAAGCCAUGAGAAUUUGGGGAGGAUUUGAACAGAGAAAACUCAUAUCAAGAGUUUACAAAUUCUGGUACUCUCGGUGUUUUGGACCAUUUCUUUGUAAGUUUUACUUUUUAAAUCUGGGGUUUUGUCCAUUUGAGUCUGUAUUUCUGUUUUCUGAUUAGAGUUUAGAAAGCUAUUUACAUAACAUUCAACCGAUGAUCUGACAAGGCUAUGGGAUUAUUUCAUGGGAGAACGGUCUGUUUUUCUUCUUCAUUCAUGUUUUGGUUGUGACCGUAUAUGCUGUGACCGUGGAUGUCCAUGUUUUUUCGUUGAUAUUCUGCUUCUCGAGAUAUCUUUUGGAUUUUUGCUUUAAUUUGCUUCUGAAGUUAAAUUUAGAAAUGUUCGUUUUACAACUUUUCUAACCGUAAGAGGUAUGAAGAGAAUAUAAGUCAGUUUCUAUUAGUUUCAUGCUUAAUUAGUUUUGUUGUUUGUACAUCUUCUGAUUUAAUAGUUAGUCACUCUGACUUAAUAAAGAGGAAUCAGUUAAUAAGGAGAUGGAUGCUAGAGCUGGUGCUGCUUCAAAUCACUUGGCAAGGAAAAGAUCUCUUAUCCUAAGGUCGACCUUCCCGAGGGUGUUCUACAUGUGAUUUGAUUUGUCUUACGGCUGUUGUAGCUUUCCAGCCAUAUGAGUAUGUCGACAAUGUUUGUUUUCCUAUAGCUGAUCCCUAUAUGCAUUGACAUUAUCUUGGGGAGCAUAUGAAGAAUGAAAACCUCUUAAUAAAUACCACAGUGGACAAGGAUUAACUGGCGGCCGGAAAUGAUAUGGUUCGUACUCUUUUUGGAUGCCAAGCUCAGAAAGCUCUAUAUGGUUUAAAUUCCUCUUACAACCGAUCCAUCAUCAAUGACCUAUUAGCGGUUUGAGUUAUAUUCGAUUAGCUACAGAAAUUCAUCGUGCUGCAUAGUGAGCUCAAGAAAAUUUCAUAAUUGCUGCAAAAAAUGUAUUACAAGUAUACAACAUCACAAUUGCUCCAUUAAAAUAUUUUGACAAAAAAAAACAUCAUGUAGAAUAGAAUAUUCCAUGGGCCAAAAUGAUUUCAACGGGGAAGAUGCUACUGGAGAGCAUGUUACAGACUUGUUGCAUGUGACGAAAUCGCUAUCUGCUUUGGGUGAUGUAUUGAAGAAGGUGAUGAUACCUUAUGAGAACUCUAGACUCACAAUACUACUCGAAUAUUCAAUAGGAGGAAGCUCAAAAACAUUGUUGAUCGUAAAUGUCUGUCCCAAUGCUUCUAAUCUGCCCAAGACACUGUCAGCUCUUACUUUCUCUGCAAGAGCUCAGAGUGCGGAGCUAAGUCUUGGGAAUCGAGAUACCAUUAAGAAAUGUAGAGAUUUUGUAAGUUUGUGCUAAAUCUUCUGACAGUGUAUUAUUCUUUUCAAUGGAGUACAGAAGGCCUGGAAAGUUUCCUUUACAUUGUAGGCAGAUCUAAAGUCAGAAAAUCCGAUGUUGUCUGAAAAGCAUAAGAUUGAGAAGGAUCGAAACACACAACUCAGAAAUCAAGUUUCCCAUAUUUUGCAACUGGAGCAAGACCAGAAAAUUCAGAUACAAAAACGCGAUUCGACAAUUCAGGUGCACCUUAAUAUAUGGAUUCACAUCUGCAAACUCUAGCGUAGAGAACAAGAAUUGGUGCUCCUUAGGUAACUUGAAGAAACUCCAAGAUCUCAAAACCUAUAGAAGAAGAAGAAAAUUUCUUAGAGAAAGAUGUAGGAACCAAUCUGUUUGACGUUGGCACCAACAGUAGGGAAUAAUAUUGGUAAAGUUUUGCAGAAGAAAGGAAGUUAUUCUUCCUCCUCUUUCAUUGAAGCUCAAAGUAUCUUCUUUUGUAAUUUCUUGACAUGGAUUUGUGAUUUAUAAUAACAGGUUCCUGUUGAAUU